GCUUCGAACGUGUGCUCCAUUUCUCUCACAAUGUAUUAAUUUGCUGAUUUUCUGUUUCUUCUAACCACCACCUUUCUACUUUUUUCCACCACCGUUGGCUACGGCGGAGACACCAAUUUUUGUUCAUUUUUUUCCUUCCCGUCGGUUAAAAACUCCGCCAUAGCCGGCGGUUACACGAUUCACCUUUCAACUUUUUAUUUAUCACAUUGCCUCAUUUUUUGUGUGGGUAAAUUUGUAUAUAUAUAUAUAUAUAUAUAUAUAU
rnacentral:lncRNA from 1 species